rnacentral:rRNA from 1 species
AUUGAACGCUGGCGGCAGGCCUAACACAUGCAAGUCGAACGGUAACAGGAAGAAGCUUGCUUCUUUGCUGACGAGUGGCGGACGGGUGAGUAAUGUCUGGGAAACUGCCUGAUGGAGGGGGAUAACUACUGGAAACGGUAGCUAAUACCGCAUAACGUCGCAAGACCAAAGAGGGGGACCUUCGGGCCUCUUGCCAUCGGAUGUGCCCAGAUGGGAUUAGCUAGUAGGUGGGGUAGCGGCUCACCUAGGCGACGAUCCCUAGCUGGUCUGAGAGGAUGACCAGCCACACUGGAACUGAGACACGGUCCAGACUCCUACGGGAGGCAGCAGUGGGGAAUAUUGCACAAUGGGCGCAAGCCUGAUGCAGCCAUGCCGCGUGUAUGAAGAAGGCCUUCGGGUUGUAAAGUACUUUCAGCGGGGAGGAAGGGAGUAAAGUUAAUACCUUUACUCAUUGACGUUACCCGCAGAAGAAGCACCGGCUAACUCCGUG